GUACUGAUGAGGAGUCUAAAACCAGGACGAAACAACUGUCUAGUAC
rnacentral:hammerhead_ribozyme from 1 species